rnacentral:rRNA from 1 species
AUUGAACGCUGGCGGCAGGCCUAACACAUGCAAGUCGGACGGUAGCACAGAGGAGCUUGCUCCUCGGGUGACGAGUGGCGGGCGGGUGAGUAAUGUCUGGGGAUCUGCCCGAUAGAGGGGGAUAACCACUGGAAACGGUGGCUAAUACCGCAUAACGUCGCAAGACCAAAGAGGGGGACCUUCGGGCCUCUCACUAUCGGAUGAACCCAGAUGGGAUUAGCUAGUAGGCGGGGUAACGGCCCACCUAGGCGACGAUCCCUAGCUGGUCUGAGAGGAUGACCAGCCACACUGGAACUGAGACACGGUCCAGACUCCUACGGGAGGCAGCAGUGGGGAAUAUUGCACAAUGGGCGCAAGCCUGAUGCAGCCAUGCCGCGUGUAUGAAGAAGGCCUUCGGGUUGUAAAGUACUUUCAGCGGGGAGGAAGGCGAUAAGGUUAAUAACCUUGUCGAUUGACGUUACCCGCAGAAGAAGCACCGGCUAACUCCGUGCCAGCAGCCGCAGUAA